ensembl:lncRNA
CUCCCCGCCCCCUCGCCCAGUCUCCGCGCUCUGGCACACUCCCUGCCUUCUCCACCGCCCCCAGGAGCAGCCUCAGCCGCCGCGCGCUUCCCCCGCGCCCCCGCCCGCCGAUUGCUCGCUCGCACGCACGCCCGGUCUCUCGCUCGCUCUCCAUCCCUCGCCGGCGCUCCCUCGCUCCCUCCUCCCCGUGAUUGACAGGCAAGAUGUCGGUGUGGAGCGAGGCAGGAGCGAAUGCAGCAGCCGUCACCCCCGGAGCCCGGCGGCGGCAGCAGCAGCAGCGCGAGGACGAGACAGCAGCCAGCCGCAGUCGCCGCCGCAGCCGCGGGAGCAAUGCAGACAGCAUCUUGAGAACGCGCUAAAGCACCCCAAACGGUGGACAAUGCCGUGUCACUGCAACUGGGAGGGGGGCAAACCAGAUUUUUUUUGACAUAAAAGCCAGCCAGCCAAAAAUAUAUAAUUUUGUCCUUCACGGAGCCGGUGUGUAAAGAGUGAGCGCUAUUUUCCUUCUCCUCCUCCUCUCCCUCCCCCUCCUCCUUCUCCCCGCCCCCCCCCUCCCCGCAAGUGUACAGACAGCAUCACAUCACCUGGUUUGCUUCUGAGAAACAGCAUCUCUU